GACGAACGCUGGCGGCAUGCCUAAUACAUGCAAGUCGAGCGAACAGAUGAAGUGCUUGCACUUCUGACGUUAGCGGCGAACGGGUGAGUAACACGUAAGGAAUCUACCUAUAAGCGGGGGAUAACAUUCGGAAACGGGUGCUAAUACCGCAUAAUAUCUUCUUCCGCAUGGAAGAAGAUUGAAAGACGACUCUGCUGUCACUUAUAGAUGACCUUGCGGUGCAUUAGUUAGUUGGUGGGGUAACGGCCUACCAAGACGAUGAUGCAUAGCCGACCUGAGAGGGUGAUCGGCAACAUUGGGACUGAGACACGGCCCAAACUCCUACGGGAGGCAGCAGUAGGGAAUCUUCCGCAAUGGGCGAAAGCCUGACGGAGCAAUGCCGCGUGAGUGAAGAAGGCCUUCGGGUCGUAAAACUCUGUUAUAAGAGAAGAACAAAUUGUAGAGUAACUGCUACAGUCUUGGCGGUAUCUUAUCAGAAAGCCACGGCUAACUACGUGCCAGCAGCCGCCGUAA
rnacentral:rRNA from 1 species